AUUGAACGCUGGCGGCAUGCCUUACACAUGCAAGUCGAACGGCAGCACGGGGGCAACCCUGGUGGCGAGUGGCGAACGGGUGAGUAAUGCAUCGGAACGUGCCCAGUAGUGGGGGACAACCAGUCGAAAGAUUGGCUAAUACCGCAUACGACCUAUGGGUGAAAGCGGGGGACCGUAAGGCCUCGCGCUAUUGGAGCGGCCGAUGUCUGAUUAGCUAGUUGGUGAGGUAAAAGCUCACCAAGGCGACGAUCAGUAGCUGGUCUGAGAGGACGACCAGCCACACUGGGACUGAGACACGGCCCAGACUCCUACGGGAGGCAGCAGUGGGGAAUUUUGGACAAUGGGCGCAAGCCUGAUCCAGCCAUGCCGCGUGCGGGAAGAAGGCCUUCGGGUUGUAAACCGCUUUUGGCAGGAACGAAACGGCGACUCUUAAUACGGGUCGUUAAUGACGGUACCUGCAGAAUAAGCACCGGCUAACUACGUGCCAGCCGCCGCCGUAAGAC
rnacentral:rRNA from 1 species